rnacentral:rRNA from 1 species
GGAGGGUGCAAGCGUUGUUCGGAAUUAUUGGGCGUAAAGAGCGUGUAGGCGGUUCGGUAAGUCAGAUGUGAAAGCCCUGGGCUCAACCCAGGAAGUGCAUUUGAAACUACCAGACUUGAGUACGGGAGAGGAGGGGGGAAUUCCCGGUGUAGAGGUGAAAUUCGUAGAUAUCGGGAGGAAUACCAGUGGCGAAGGCGCCCUCUGGACCGAUACUGACGCUGAGACGCGAAAGCGUGGGGAGCAAACAGGAUUAGAUACCCUGGUAGUCCACGCCGUAAACGAUGAGCACUAGGUGUAGCGGGUAUUGACCCCCCUGCUGUGCCCGUAGCUAACGCAUUGAGUGCUCCGCCUGGGGACUACGGUCGCAAGACUA